rnacentral:rRNA from 1 species
CGAAAAGGAUAGGAAAGCCGGGUCGAGGACCUGGUACUCAAGGAGGGGCUCAUGUCCUAUCAGCUUGUUGGUGGGGUAACGGCCUACCAAGGCUACGACGGGUAGCUGGUCUGAGAGGAUGAUCAGCCACACUGGCACUGAGAUACGGGCCAGACUCCUACGGGAGGCAGCAGUGAGGAAUAUUGCGCAAUGGGCGAAAGCCUGACGCAGCGACGCCGCGUGGGGGAUGAAGGUUUUCGGAUUGUAAACCCCUUUCAUGAGGAAAGAUAAAGUGGGUAACCACUUAGACGGUACCUCAAGAAGAAGCCACGGCUAACUUCGUG